CUGCGUACCUUUUGUAUAAUGGGUCAGCGACUUACGUUCAGUAGCGAGCUUAACCGAAUAGGGGAGGCGUAGGGAAACCGAGUCUGAUAAGGGCGCCUAGUUGCUGGACGUAGACCCGAAACCAAGUGAUCUAUCCAUGGCCAGGAUGAAGGUGCGGUAACACGCACUGGAGGUCCGAACCCACUAAUGUUGAAAAAUUAGGGGAUGAGCUGUGGAUAGGGGUGAAAGGCUAAACAAAACUUGGAAAUAGCUGGUUCUCUCCGAAAACUAUUUAGGUAGUGCCUCAAGUAUCACCGACGGGGUAAAGCACUGUUAUGGCUAGGGGGUCAUCGCGACUUACCAAACCAUUGCAAACUCAGAAUACCGUUGAGUGCGAGCUUGGGAGACAGACAUCGGGUGCUUAACGUCCGGUGUCUAAGAGGGAAACAACCCAGACCGCCGAUAAGUCCGAAGA
rnacentral:rRNA from 1 species